UCAGAAUGAACGUUGGCGGCGUGGAUUAGGCAUGCAAGUCGUACGCCCCGCAAGGGGCGUGGCGCAAGGGUGAGUAAGGCGACGGUAACCAACCCCACGGCCGGGCAUAGCCCAGAGAAAUCUGGGGUAAUUCCCGGCGCCGCAGCGAAGAGACAUCUCUUUGCUGCGAAAGGUGUGACUCCGCCGUGGGACGGACCGUUGUGGUAUCAGGUAGUUGGCGGGGUAAUGGCCCACCAAGCCUCUGACGCCUACCGGGCGUGCGAGCGUGGCCCGGCACACUGGGACUGAGACACUGCCCAGACUCCUACGGGAGGCUGCAGUCGAGAAUCUUCGGCAAUGGGCGAAAGCCUGACCGAGCGACGCCGCGUGGAGGACGAAGGCCUUCGGGUUGUAAACUCCUGUCGAGAGGGAGGAAGGCGUGGUGCAGAGCCAUGCUUGACCGAUCUCUGGAGGAAGCACGGGCUAAGUUCGUGCCAGCAGCCGCGGUAAGACGAACCGUGCGAACGUUAUUCGGAAUCACUGGGCUUAAAGCGCGUGUAGGCGGGCCGGCACGUCGGAUGUUGAAAGCCCCCGGCUUAACCGGGGAAGUGGCACCGAUACGACCGGCCUGGAGGGGGGUAGGGGGAGCCGGAACUUCCGGUGGAGCGGUGAAAUGCGUUGAGAUCGGAAGGAACGCCCGUGGCGAAAGCGGGCUCCUGGA
rnacentral:rRNA from 1 species